UUUUAGGUUCAGGCGACGCUGCCAGUGUGACGAAUAAUUUAGUGGACGGGACGCUCAACAGCAGCUUGUCAGACACCUCGGUAGCUUUCUAGCAAACAUAGCUACAACAUUCACGCUCUUUACACUGUUUUGGUGUAUAUUAGUCGCUGUGUAGUAAACACACUUCUGUUGUAUGUACUUGUUGGUCCAUUCAAUUAUAUAUUUACGUUGUUUGUCAGCUAGCUGAUUUGCUAAGGUAGCUUGGAACUAGGCUAGUCGCUGAUGCUAGCUUGCUAACAUCCCGAGCAUGAAUUCACUAAGCUACUCUCCUGAUAAAGAAGACGAGGUCUGCUGGACGAAGAAAGAAGCUCUGGUGAAAGAGGAGGAGGAAGAGGAGGAUGUUACAAUACAAAAACAAUUAGAUGGUGAGGCUGUUACCGUUUCAGUGAAAGAAGAGGAAGACCCGUUCAGAGUGAAAGAGGAGGAGGAUGUUAUAGUAAAAGAAGAGGAGGAAGAGAAAGAGGAGGAGGGGUGAUUUCUGUCACAUUGGAGGAAGAAGAGGAGGUUGGAGAUCUGUUUAACACCAGAGAGAGACGGGACUACCGUGAGUCCUCUGGGGAGCCUCAACAACCUCAUGAUGCUGACGAGGCAGAGGAGAGUCUCUCCAGAUCAGAACACCUGCAGAGAUCCACAGGGAAGAGAACUCACUGCUGCUCUGACUGUGGGGAGAGUUUCACCUCCUCAUCAGGCAUUCAAAUUCAUCAGAGAAUCCACACAGGAGAGAAAUCUUAUGGCUGUGAUCAAUGUGGGAAGAGUUUUGUUAAAUAUCGCCGUCUGAAGAUACACCAGAGGACACACACAGGAGAGAAAUCAUAUAGCUGUGAUCAAUGUGGGAAGAGUUUUACUCAGCUAAGCAGCCUGAUAUCACACCAGAGAACACACAUAGGCGAGAAACCUUAUAGCUGUACGCAAUGUGGGAAGAGUUUUACUCAGCUAAGCAUCCUGAUAUCACACCAGAGAACUGUCGUGACGUUGUAUUAGUUCAUGUGACGGCUGUUGCUCAUCGAAUUAUUAAAUGUUUCUAAUUGCGUGAUGAAAUGAAUCAAGCAAUUAUUAACUCAUUAACCUGGGGAACCAUGGGAAAAUUAGUUUUAUUGAGUUUCUAUUUCCCAAAUUAACUCAAAGAAUAUCAGAAUACCGAUUUUAGAACCUUCGCUAAUGAAUCAGUUUCCUUUACAAUCUCAUUCUGAACAUCGCAUAAUCUGUCAAUCUGCACAAAACCGAGUCCCACCAAUGAGUUCGUACCACACCAAUCUUAGUUGAGUAUUUAUUUACUAGAAAGCUAAAAUGAUGAUACAAGAUACACAUACACCAAAAACACCGUCUAGGCUAUUGAUUAGAACUUAAUAUUAUGGGUCAACACACAAUGGCGCGUGUUACCCAAAAUUGGGAUUUAAAAGACAGAGAAAAAGUGAAAGCACACGAUAGAAAUAUACAUUUGGAUGCAUUUGUCAGUGAUGCUUAUUUGAACCCUAGCCUUGCCCCAAACUGCCGCUCUUAUGGGUCAGAAUAUAAUGAUGUAAUUACGUGUGGGAGGUCUCAGAUGGGAAGCUCCGCGUGGGUCGCUUUGGCUUCUCAAUGACGCACUUCUCCGGCGCAACUCUCUGGUCGUCCUCACAAUGUCAGUGUCCAUCUGAUUCCUCGCCCUUGCUCUGGGAGGAGUCUUCUGAGGACAGACAGAUCUGUAGCUCAGGGCUCACAGCGUAGGAAUGAAACAGUGUAGAUACCACGAUUUGAUGGAGAGUGGAGGUUAGGUGGUCCGGCUUGAAUUCACCCGCUGAGACACAGCUACUCAUCAGUAGCAUGGGUAGAAAAAUAUUUCUUUGUCUUCAACCUUGGGUUGAGUUUUGGGUUCGUUUACUUCUUAGACCAAGGCUGCAGCUUGGGUCACUUAGUCUGAUCUGUUCAUUCUGACUCACAGGUCUUAUACCCUCUGGUCAGAAGUGGGCGUAACUGCCUUCAGGGCAAUUCUCUGGGCGUACCAAGUUAAGAGGCAAGGUCUAGAUUUUACUCAAAUCCAAUUUUAGACAACUAACUUCACAUUUCAACUUUACCAAAACAUUCUCUUUGAUUUGGACAUUUUCCACACAACGUCCAAUGAAUAAACAUCAAGUGUAUCCUAGGAAAACUCUUAAAGUUACAAUGUUUCCGUAAAGACAUUGUCCUUUAAGCUUUAAUAACCAGACAAAAAUGACAUACAUUUUCAUAUUCCAUCUAUCGUCAUGACCACCGUUGUGGCUGACGGAAACCAUUGUUCCAAAGUCCCUUUAUUGCAUGUUUAAUGUUCUGAGGCUGAUUCUCCAUAGUGAAAGGAAGGUUGUCUGUGGCCUAAGAUUUACCAUGGGCGUAGGGGUCAUAAAACCCCCACAUCUUCAGACCCCUAGAUCUCUCCUCCUCUGUUGGGGGUGAGAGAUUAUCUGUAGGGUUGUGGUCUCCUGUAACCUGACCUGAUCAGGACAGUCAUGACCGAACACACACAGGAGAGACACCAUAUAGCUGUGAUGAAUGUGGGAAGAGUUUUACUGCAUUUAGAAAUCUGAAUCUACACCAGGGAACACACACAGGAGAGAAAUAUUUUAGCUGUACUCAGUGUGGGAAGAGUUUUACUCUGCUAAGCAACCUGAUAUCACACACAGGAGAUAAAUCCUAUAGCUGUGAUCAAUGUGGGAAGAGUUUUACUCAGUCAAACAGAGAUUUACUCUGCUAAGCAACCUGAUAUCACACCAGAGAACACACACAGGAGAGAAAUCUCUUAACUGUGACCAGAGAUAAUCUGAUAAAAGAUCUCAGAUCAAAUAUCAGAAAGUACAUACAUGAAGGAGUUGUUUCAUGAUAUCAAUUAAUUAAUGUCACAAUGUAAAAUGUUUUAACAAUGUACUAGGAGUAUUUUAAUAAUGUCACAAUGUAGAAGCCUAAAUGUUUGCCCCUUUAUCAAUUGAUUUCAACAUGAUAUGGAUAUUAGCCUCAGGGGAAAAAUCCAGGCUAUGAAUUGAAAGUUGUGUUGUUUUACACUUACCACAUUGGUGACCCACUUGAAUCAAAAUGCAACACUUCAAAAUGUAGCUAGCUGUUUACCACGUUGUUGUCCUCUACCCAGUGAUGUUUACAUUAUUCCCAGAUUCCGUGUGGCUUUUGAGCUGUUAGUUUUAACAAGACGUGCAACCUCAUCUCCCUCCUCUCGCACAAUUGAUUUCAACGUGAUAUCAAUGAGUGAUGACAAAUAAGUGAGGCGUUCCUUUGUUUAGUGACCCCUAAAUGUAAAUGCAUCACUCCAAAAUGUAGCUGACUGUCUUCUGCAGGUUGUCCUCUAACCAGUAAGGGAAAAUAUAUCUCCCAUUUCCAUGUGUUUUUUUAGUUGUGUUAGUUUCAACAGCACGUACAACCUGAUUUCCCCCCUAAUCGAUAUCAGUUAUUUAUUGCUGUUUGUUCAUUUUUAUAAGGUGCUUGUUUUAAAUAAUACAAGUAAUAUGAUUAUUAUGGCAGAUGUUUGUGUAUAUUGCACAUUUUAUGUUUAGGUUUUCAAUAUAUUACAAAGUGUUUCUGCAUAUUGGUUAUUGAUUUGCACACAUUAAAACUGUGUGUUGACAUUGGGGCUAUCCCACCUAGCAAAAUUGAAAAGACUAUGCCCAACGGCCAAUAAUCAAUAAAUCAGUUAUCAAUUUUA